rnacentral:lncRNA from 10 species
CUGAACUUCAAAAACUAUAUGAGGGCAGAGGAAGGUGGUAGAAUAGAAGCCUAUGCCGUUCAACCCCCUCACUGGAAUACCGAAUUUUAACAACUAUCUUCACACAGAAAAGCACCAUCACAAGAACUGAAAAUCAGGUGUUGGACAAUGAUUUGAGGUCUUAGCCUGAACUUUUGAAUGAGAGGUGCCCCAUCAACUGGACUUCUCCUGA